GAUGAACGCUGGCGGCGUGCCUAAUACAUGCAAGUCGAGCGAACAGAUGAGGAGCUUGCUCCUCUGACGUUAGCGGCGGACGGGUGAGUAACACGUGGAUAACCUACCUAUAAGACUGGGAUAACUUCGGGAAACCGGAGCUAAUACCGGAUAAUAUAUUGAACCGCAUGGUUCAAUAGUGAAAGACGGUUUUGCUGUCACUUAUAGAUGGAUCCGCGCCGCAUUAGCUAGUUGGUAAGGUAACGGCUUACCAAGGCAACGAUGCGUAGCCGACCUGAGAGGGGAGGCGGGCCACGCGAAAAGAGAACCUGGCACAAUACCCGGCGGGAGGGAGACAGGAGGAACUCUGCAGCAAGGGGCAAGACCGGAGAGGAGCACCGCGGGGGGUGGUAGUAGCGUCUUGGUGCUAAAAGACUUUUUUUUGAGGGAAAAAAAAAUGUGAAUGUAAAUAUACACGUGUGGAGGGACCUUAACAAAAAGCCCGCGACAAACUCGGCC
rnacentral:rRNA from 1 species